UGCAUAUCAAUAAGCGGAGGAAAAGAAACCAACAGGGAUUGCCCCAGUAACGGCGAGUGAAGCGGCAACAGCUCAAAUUUGAAAUCUGGCCCUCGGGUCCGAGUUGUAAUUUGUAGAGGAUGCUUUUGGCGAGGUGCCUUCCGAGUUCCCUGGAACGGGACGCCAUAGAGGGUGAGAGCCCCGUCUGGUCGGACACCGAGCCUCUGUAAAGCUCCUUCGACGAGUCGAGUAGUUUGGGAAUGCUGCUCAAAAUGGGAGGUAUAUGUCUUCUAAAGCUAAAUAUUGGCCAGAGACCGAUAGCGCACAAGUAGAGUGAUCGAAAGAUGAAAAGCACUUUGAAAAGAGGGUUAAAAAGUACGUGAAAUUGUUGAAAGGGAAGCGCUUAUGACCAGACUUGCGCCCGGUGAAUCAUCCAGCGUUCUCGCUGGUGCACUUUGCCGGGCACAGGCCAGCAUCAGUUUGGCGCGGGGGAAAAAGGCUUCGGGAAUGUGGCUCCCUCGGGAGUGUUAUAGCCCGCUGCGUAAUACCCUGCGCCGGACUGAGGUACGCGCAUUGCAAGGAUGCUGGCGUAAUGGUCAUCAGCGACCCGUCUUGAAACACGGACCAAGGAGUCGUCUUCGUAUGCGAGUGUUCGGGUGUCAAACCCCUACGCGUAAUGAAAGUGAACGCAGGUGAGAGCUUCGGCGCAUCAUCGACCGAUCCUGAUGUUCUCGGAUGGAUUUGAGUAAGAGCAUACGGGGCCGGACCCGAAAGAAGGUGAACUAUGCCUGUAUAGGGUGAAGCCAGAGGAAACUCUGGUGGAGGCUCGCAGCGGUUCUGACGUGCGAAUCGAUCGUCAAAUAUGGGCAUGGGGGGCGAAAGACUAAUCGAACCUUCUAGUAGCUGGGUUUCCGCG
rnacentral:rRNA from 1 species